GGCUAAGAAAUUUGCUAGGAGGACCAGUUGAAAAAAGCUUGUUUCAGAUAUAUAUAGUUUGUACCUCAUAAGAUUUAUUAUCAAAAUACAAAUGGGAGCUAGUGACUAAACACCUAAUUUGUGUGAAGUAGUUCAGAAUACGAGAGUAAAAAUAGGGUACUUUUGCUUAUUUUGUUUAUGUUUGGAGACUAGCUUUAGUCUGAUUCAUUUGUUUCAAUAUAUACUGUUUUUGAUUUGGUCCAAUUUUGAUUUAUUUGCUUAUACUAGAUCACCUAUAGUGUUUUCUUCCAAAGGGCGACUUAAAAAAGCCUAUGUGGUGUUUGAUAAAAUGUCAGAACAGAGAUACCAUCAAAAAAAUUAAUAGUACCUUUGAGUCAAAUUAAUAAUUACAAGUAUUUCUUUAUGUCAAUUAUAUAUCACUUUGAACAUUAGUAGUUUGAGCAGUUUUAGUACCUUUUUUAUGAGUUAGAUUAGAGUCGUUUCACAUGUUAUCAUUGCAGUGUUUUCUAGGAAUAGAUAUAUAGUAGGAACUAAGGAGUAGUAGGACUUGGAAGACAAAUUAAGAUACAGUGAACUUUUGGAAAAUUUUGGUUGGGAAAAUGAGUCUAUUCCUAUAGCUUUAAUUUAAAGUCACGGUUAGUUUCCCAUUAGAGUUGGAUCAUUGUCAUUCACUUGGAUUUAGGGAUCUCAGAGGAAGCUUUUCCAGGUAGUUGGUGAUGAGUUUUUGGUAGUAAUUAUGACUGUUAAUGAUAUAACAGGUUCCAGGCCGUAGCUAGUAAAUAGAUGAAUCUUGACGUCCACUGGAGCGCCUAUAAAGCGAGGCGAAGCGCUCAACAUGUUUUCCACCUCGCUUCAGGGCUUAAGCUCGCUUCAAGCACGCCUUUGACGGCACUGCCCAAAGCAUGAAUUAGAAAUUAUGGAUUUUGGAUCUUUCACCUGAAAUCUUGAAACUCUACAUUACUUAGGAAGGUGUUAGGUCAUCCUUUUCAUCCAAGCAUGUAGAUAAGCUAGUUCCAAAUGCAACAUUGCAAGUCACUGGUGCGGUCGGUUAGCACAGGGAGGGUCUUGCUUUCCCGACUGCCAUUAGGGAAGUUAUUUUCCUCAUUUUUAAGGAACUUGUUUUCUAAAGAAAGUGUUUUCCAAAACAUCUUCACCAACCAAACAUGGAAAAUUGGAAAACAUUUUCCAUACCAAACACACCCUUAGUUCUUUCAAAGUCCAAAUUUGAUCUCCUCAAAAAGGAAAAAAUUGGCAUUAUCUUUAGUGGUCAUUCAUCUCCUUAAUUUAUUUACCUUAAAGAGUAAAGAUAACAAUCAUUGCAUUCUGCUUCUUUCAGUCGGUUCUCCUUAUCUGCAGAUUUUCAAUGCUAACUGUUCUCAAACAUGUGAUUAUCUA